UCUCUAAGCUCAACCGAUGCAUUGUCUCCAUUGAAUGAAUGGCUCACUCUUUUCCCAAAUGCCAUCCUCACACCUCUGCCAAGACUACCUCAGACCGCACUCCAAUUGAACUGGUCUUCAAGCAAAACCUCUGGAGGAAUAAGAGAUUCUUCUACGAAGACUUCUGGUACACUGUCUCAGGCUUUGAUGACAUGGUGAAACAAUGAUGGAACAUCACUUCCAAAAGCCACGAUGCAGCUUCGAACCUGGUUACCAAAUCGAAGUUGCUCGGAGACAGAUUAAAACAAUGGAAUCGAUCUGCAAACGGAAACAUCAGCAGAAAAAAGGAUGAGAUGAGAACAAAAAUUCAAUAACUGGACCUCAAGGAGGAUAGUAACUAACUCUCCAUCGAGGAGAAGAGCCAAAGAGAGAAGCUCAAGCUAAAAUAAGACCCAGUUUUACAUCAAGAAGAGAUCUUAUGGAAGCAGAGAAGCAGAGCAAAUUGGUUAAAGCAUGGAGACAAAAAUGCCAAAUUUUUUCAUAUUACAGCAAGUACCAGAAAAAGGAAAAAUAUGAUUGCUUGAAUUGAGGACCAAGGAAGAAUCAUCGAUUGUUAACACCAAAUUAAAGCCUCCUUUCUGAAAUAUUAUACAAGUUUACUCGGUAUUUAGGAAAAAACUGAUAUUCACCUGAACUGAAAAGCUCUAUUUCCUGAACCCUCCGAGAAUCUAAGUGAACUUGAAGCACCGUUCUCAGAAACUAAAAUCAAAAAAUGCCCUUUUUAGUUUGGCAAAGGACAAAUCACCAGGGUCAGAGGGAUUUCCAAUUUUAUUUUACCAGCACUUUUGGGACACAAUCAAGGUGGAUCUGAUCCAUUUUUUUUUUCAGAUAUAUACAGCAAUAAAACAGAUUUAUAUAGGUUGAACUACUCCAAACACUACCUUGGUUCUGAAGAAAUCAGAAUGUAAACAAGUAAGUGAUUGCAGGCCCAUCAGUUUACUUCAUAGAAAUCUCAAAAUUUUCACCAAAACACUGGCAAACAGACUAUCAAAAUUUUUGAAUCGUCUUGUGAUGGACUCUCAAGCAGCAUUCAUUAGGGGGCGUCAAAUCUCAGAUUGUUACUUAAUUGCGAUAGAAAUCAUCUCUCACUGUCGCAAAUCUCAUUAGAAAGGUUUGAUUUUGAAGUUGGACUUCGAAAAGGCUUUUGACAAAAUCAAUUGGUCAUUUCUCCUCUCUCUGCUAAAAUUUAGAGGAUUUGGUCCGAAGUGGAUAAGCAGGAUCGCAAAUCUUCUGAACUCUUCUAAGAUGGCUCUCCUGAUAAAUGGGGAUCCAACACAGUAGAUCCAAAUCAGAAGAGGGUUACGUCAGGGCGAUCCAUUAUCCCCCAUGCUUUUCAUUCUAGCUGCAGACAUUCUAAGUCGUCUGACAAAUCUAGCGGCAUCAAACAACCUCCUUUCAGGGAUUGGAACAAAUGAAAUUAUCAAAAGAGUUCUAAGCAUCCAAUACGCGGACGACACCCUCCUCUUGUGCAGCACAAGCCCACAACACGCCUCCAUCCUAAAAUUUAUUAUCUAUGCCUUUGAGCUCCCAUCAGGGAUAAACAUCAAUUUCAGCAAGAGCAAUCUCUACAUAUUGGGAAUUUCAGAAAGAGAAAGUGAAAUUAUUGCACGGAUAACCAUUCUAAGAUAUCAAAUCUGCCGACUUCUUACCUGGGACUUCCUCUCGACCACCGCAAACCAGCACCAAGCGAUUGAAAAUUUCUUGAAGACAAGGUAGAACGGAGGCUGGCCGCUUGGAAAGGUAAAAUCCUA
rnacentral:lncRNA from 1 species